rnacentral:rRNA from 1 species
CCCUUAGAGUUUGAUCCUGGCUCAGAUUGAACGCUGGCGGCAUGCCUUACACAUGCAAGUCGAACGGCAGCGCGGGGCAACCUGGCGGCGAGUGGCGAACGGGUGAGUAAUAUAUCGGAACGUACCCUGGAGUGGGGGAUAACGUAGCGAAAGUUACGCUAAUACCGCAUACGAUCUAAGGAUGAAAGCAGGGGACCGCAAGGCCUUGUGCUCCUGGAGCGGCCGAUAUCUGAUUAGCUAGUUGGUGGGGUAAAGGCCCACCAAGGCAUCGAUCAGUAGCUGGUCUGAGAGGACGACCAGCCACACUGGAACUGAGACACGGUCCAGACUCCUACGGGAGGCAGCAGUGGGGAAUUUUGGACAAUGGGCGCAAGCCUGAUCCAGCAAUGCCGCGUGAGUGAAGAAGGCCUUCGGGUUGUAAAGCUCUUUUGUCAGGGAAGAAACGGUGAGGGCUAAUAUCCCUUGCUAAUGACGGUACCUGAAGAAUAAGCACCGGCUAACUACGUGCCAGCAGCCGCGGUAAUACGUAGGGUGCAAGCGUUAAUCGGAAUUACUGGGCGUAAAGCGUGCGCAGGCGGUUUUGUAAGUUUGUCGUGAAAUCCCCGGGCUCAACCUGGGAAUGGCGAUGAAGACUGCAAGGCUAGAGUUUGGCAGAGGGGGGUAGAAUUCCACGUGUAGCAGUGAAAUGCGUAGAUAUGUGGAGGAACACCGAUGGCGAAGGCAGCCCCCUGGGUCAAAACUGACGCUCAUGCACGAAAGCGUGGGGAGCAAACAGGAUUAGAUACCCUGGUAGUCCACGCCCUAAACGAUGUCUACUAGUUGUCGGGUCUUAAUUGACUUGGUGACGCA